CUGUCGGUCCCUGUCGCGACAGCCCUAGGCCGUGAUAACCACGGCUCACUUGUGCAGGGCUUGCUGCUAGCUAAUGAGUGAGGGAAACAUGGUGGUCCCUGCGUAGUGCUGCGUGGAAAAGGUGUUGCUGUCUCUGGGGUGAUGGUCCCAGAGCUGAGGGACCGUUUUGGUCGUCGCAGGCAGUGGCCUCACGCCUUGGCCUGGUGAAUGCAUUCAGAAGGGGCCUCCCACAGGCUUUUGGCUCCUGCUUCCCUUCUGCCCCUGUUUGAGAAACUUCCCAGAUGAUGUAGCAAUGAAUGUAUCAUCCUGUUGCUACUACACUGUGUUCUUUGCUUCAAGGCUGAAGAGAAUGUGCUUUGAAACAUGGAUGUCUGCUUCCUCUGGAAUCCUUGCAGCAUCUCUCUGCCAGGUGUCUGAAGUACUGAAGACACAAAUCACGUACAAGUGGAGAGUCUAAGAAUGUCAAUAGAAAGUUCAACAGCUGACAAUAAGUGCUCCAGCUUGCUCUCAGUCCAUCUCAACUUCAUACUGCUUGCUGCAGAAUUAGAUUUCAGUAGAAUUCAACCUACUUCUGCUCUUGGAGGGAACUACUAAGAACUACUUUUAAGGUUGGUUGCAAGUGUCCCCGUCACUGGAACACUGACAAAGAAGCAGAUUUGAUCACUCUUGGCGAAAAUGACUCAUGGUAGCACUGUGUUUACUAGCGUCUGCGCCCAGAACAGCCAGUCUUGCUUUAUUAUGACUAUUCUGCUAUGGUCAGUCUGACUUUUACAGAAAUCCAUCCACAAAAGACAACUAGGCAAGGACAUACAGUUAAAAGCACUUUAUCACGAAAAAUUCUCAUAUAUUUAUUAGUUGUCCUACAAACUGGAUACUUUUCAUGACUUUAACAGAUGAACCGUUUGAAUGUCUUGCACUUUGCCCUGACAGGACAGCUGUCCCAAUUCCCGUUUACUUUGUACUACCUAUGUGUUGUUAAUGAAUUUUCUGUCUGCACCAGAGUUAGAAGGUGAUGGCAAAUUUUCUCUGGAUGUCUCCUCUCUUUAUAGUUU